rnacentral:pre_miRNA from 1 species
CAAAAAGCAAAUCCUGAGUUUCCGUGUCCAACUUUAACUGUCUGUCUUAUAUAAUUUUUUUUAUAAUUCGUAUUUUUAUUAUUGUUAGAUGAUAAAACAUGAUUAAUAUUUUAUGCGUGACUUGUCUUUUUAAUUUUUUUCAUAAUUUUUUCAAAUAAGACGGACGAUCAAACGUUGGGCACGGAAACCAGGGUUUGUCUUUUU